rnacentral:tRNA from 1 species
ACCUGGGUGGCUCAGUCGGUUGAGCGUCUGACUUUGGCUCAGGUCAUGAUCUCACAGUUCAUGGGUUCGAGCCCCGCGUCAGGCU